rnacentral:snRNA from 1 species
AUUUUUAUCUCGCUGGCAGAACAUUUAUGAAAAUUGGAGCGACGCAGAGAAGAUUAGCAUGGGGCCUACGCCCCACGGAUGAUUCGCAAUAUCGUGAAAUUUUCCAGAUUUUU